rnacentral:rRNA from 1 species
GUGCACCAGGCGCGAAUUUUUCACAAUGGGGGAAACCCUGAUGGAGCGACGCCGCGUGGAGGAUGAAGGCGUUUUCGUCGUAAACUCCUGUCAUGCGAGAACAAGAAAGUGAUAGUAUCGCAAGAGGAAGAGGCGGCUAACUCUGUGCCAGCAGCCGCGGUAAUACAGAGGCCUCAAGCGUUGUUCGGAUUCAUUGGGCGUAAAGGGUGCGUAGGUGGCAUGGUAAGUUGAAGGUGAAAUCUCGGAGCUCAACUCCGAAACUGCCUUCAAUACUGCUGUGCUCGAGGACUGUAGAGGAGAAUGGAAUUCACGGUGUAGCAGUGAAAUGCGUAGAUAUCGUGAGGAAGACCAGUGGCGAAGGCGAUUCUCUGGGCAGUUCCUGACACUGAGGCACGAAGGCUAGGGGAGCAAACGGGAUUAGAUACCCGCGUA